CAUGGGGAGGUCACUAGGUCAGCCAAGGUGCUGCCCUCAGAGGGACUGAGGUGGCUGAGAUGGAGCCGGCCUUCCCACACUGAUUUGCUUCAUCCCCGUGGAGGCUCCCUUCACUCACAAUCCUCUUGUGAUGCUAUCCACCGUGAUGUGACACCGCCAGAGGGCCUCAUGAAAGCCAGCAAGGUUUGUGGACUGUCAGCCCCCAAAACUGAGCUAAAGAAACCUCUCUUGUUUAUGAAGCACCCAACCCCAACUAUUUUGUUUUAGUCACAAAAAACUGCCUAACACCCUCCCUGAUAUUUCCACACUAGUGCCUUCCUCUCCAGUCAGGGCAAUGAGGGAAACCACCCCAUGCCCCAUGACAAAGCCUUGUCUCCUACCUUCCUACCUUCUCCAUGUUGCCUGGCUCUCUCCACCUGUACAGGCACUGCAAUGAUGUGGACCACUGUGGCCUCUGGUGGACACAAGUGCUGUGGCCUCCUGCCUGGUUUCCCAGAGAGAGGGGAUAAAGGAAAGCGUCUCCUGAACUCCUAGAUCGACGCCCAGAAUCAGCUCGUACUGCCUGGGCUCCUUUCCUCUGUGACACUUAGCUCAGAGGGCUGGGUGGUCCUGAUCAACGUCUCUUGCCCUCAAGAGACAGAAAUGUCUGAAAAUGUGGAGAAUGUUCCUAUUCUACAUCCCAGCUGCAGCACAGUCCUAGACUGCAGACACACAGCUGACCUUGUUUGAACCUGUAAAGUAAGCAUUUCACAUGACGUCUGGGACUCACACUCCACUCCUGUGGGGCAGCGCUUCUCCAGCACAUAACUUCCCUCAGUAACACCCGGAGCCACUCCCAUGGAGUCCAAGUCCCACGCAUGAGCACAACCAAGUGAGGCGGGUCUGGAAUGAGAAACAAGCAGGGGGUGGAGGGGAGGGAUUGGUGGAGCAGCUUCAGGGGUCUUGGAAGGCCAUCAGGACACAGGGAAGGGUCACCCUCAGAAGAGGGUGGGCGGCUGGGCCUUCCUGUCUGCUUCUCUUCUCCCUUCUGCCAGUAGGUGCCCUCUCCGGCCCUCUCCGGCCCUCUCUGGCCCUCCUAUGGCGUGGCAAGGCCUGGCCAGCCUGGAAACCUGCCCUCUGUGUUCCAGCCCCACACGGUGGAGAGGCCAGGCCUUCCCCUCUCUGUGCGUGGUCUGCGCCAAGAUUGAGUCUUCUAGAGGCAGCUCCUUGAGCGGAAGCCACCAAGAACUUCACACAGGGGAGAGGAGUCCCUGAAGAGAGAUGGAGAGAACGCUUCACUCCACAGCAGAGUUGGUGCUGGCGGGGCCUGUCAUCAUGUGAAGAGCUAGGGGACACAGCUGGGCAGAGGUAGGAGCCAGAGGAAGACCUCAGGAAACCCAGUAGAGACCAGCAAAAAGCCAAGAGUGCAGGCAGAGGCAUGGCAGGAAGGACCUGGCAUCUACCCUGGUCCUCGCUGCCCCGAGGAGACAGACCAAGGACAAGCAAGCAGAGGGCCCAGGCAGUGAAGUGCAGCUCCUGAGCCUGCCUCUUCCCGGAUCUGACGUAAACGCGGCUCGACCCUGCAUGGCGCUGUGGUCAGCCGCAGAAUUCUGAGGGUGCAGCUUGGUUUCGUCAUCUUCCAGUGUCUGCUGAAAGCAGAACAUUCAGGGAUGGGGCGUGGGU